rnacentral:rRNA from 1 species
GACGAACGCUGGCGGCGUGCUUAACACAUGCAAGUCGAACGAAGUGGCGAACGGGUGAGUCACGCGUAAUAAACCUGCUCUUCAGAGGGUGACAACAGUUGGAAACGCAUGCUAAUCCCGCAUACUGAAGGAGGGGUUUGCGUCGGAUUAGCUAGUUGGAGGGGCAACGGCCCACCAAGGCGAUGAUAUGUAGCCGGGCUGAGAGGAUUAACGGCCAAAUAGGGACUGAGAAGCGGCCCAGACUCCUACGGGAGGCAGCAGGGGGGAAUCUUCCGAAAUUGGCGGAAGUCUGACGGAGCAACGGCGCGUGAGGGAUGACGGGCUUCGGGUUGUAAAGGUCUGGUAAUCGAGACGCGGUACCGGAAUAGAAAGCCACGGCUAACUACGUGCCAGCAGCCGCGGUAAUAC